rnacentral:misc_RNA from 1 species
GAUGAAGAACGCAGCGAAAUGCGAUAAGUAAUGCGAAUUGCAGAAUUCAGUGAAUCAUCGAAUCUUUGAACGCACAUUGCGCCCGCCAGUAUUCUGGCGGGCAUGCCUGUCUGAGCGUCGUUUCGACCCUCGCGCCCGGCUUCUGUCGGGGGCGGUGUUGGGGAUCGGCCACACCCUUCAGUGGGAGGCCGGCCCCUAAAUUCAGUGGCGACCACGCUGUAGCCUCCCCUGCGUAGUACUAAAACCACCUCGCAGGCGGAGAGCGGUGCGGCCCGCCGUAAAACCCCCCAACUUUUACAAGGUCGACCUCAGAUCAGGUAGGAAUACCCGCUGAACUUAAGCAUAUCAAAAGCGGAGGA